GACGGGGGAUGCAAGUGUUAUCCGGAAUUACUGGGCGUAAAGCGCACGUAGGCGGAUUUGUUAGUCAGGGGUGAAAUCCCGAGGCUCAACCUCGGAACUGCCUUUGAUACUGCAAAUCUCGAGUCCGGAAGAGGUGAGUGGAAUUCCUAGUGUAGAGGUGAAAUUCGUGGAUAUUAGGAAGAACACCAGUGGCGAAGGCGGCUCACUGGUCCGGUACUGACGCUGAGGUGCGAAAGCGUGGGGAGCAAACAGG
rnacentral:rRNA from 1 species